GGCAGCAGUGGGGAAUAUUGGACAAUGGGCGCAAGCCUGAUUCAGCAAUACCGCGUGUGUGAAGAAGGCCUGAGGGUUGUAAAGCACUUUCAAUAGAGACGAAAAGCCUAGGGUUAAUAGCUCUGGGUCUUGACUUAACCUAUAGAAGAAGCACCGGCUAACUCCGUGCCAGCAGCCGCGGUAAUACGGAGGGUGCAAGCGUUAAUCGGAAUUACUGGGCGUAAAGCGCUCGUAGGCGGUUUGUUAAGUCGGAUGUGAAAGCCCCGGGCUCAACCUGGGAACUGCAUUCGAUACUGGCAAACUAGAGUAUAGAAGAGGCAAGUGGAAUUCCAGGUGUAGCGGUGAAAUGCGUAGAUAUCUGGAGGAACAUCAGUGGCGAAGGCGACUUGCUGGUCUAAUACUGACGCUGAGGAGCGAAAGCGUGGGGAGCAAACGGGAUUAGAUACCCCGGUAGUCCACGCCGUAAACGAUGUCAACUAGCCGUUGGGGGUCUUAGUACCUUUAGUGGCGCAGCUAACGCAUUAAGUUGACCGCCUGUGGAGUACGGUCGCAAGACUAAAACUCAAAGGAAUUGACGG
rnacentral:rRNA from 1 species